rnacentral:rRNA from 1 species
AUUGAACGCUGGCGGCAGGCCUAACACAUGCAAGUCGAGCGAGCGGCGGACGGGUGAGUAAUGUCUGGGAAACUGCCUGAUGGAGGGGGAUAACUACUGGAAACGGUAGCUAAUACCGCAUACCAUCAGAUGUGCCCAGAUGGUAUUAGCUAGUAGGUGGGGUAACGGCUCACCUAGGCGACGAUCCCUAGCUGGUCUGAGAGGAUGACCAGCAAAAAUGGAACUGAGACACGGGACAGAAGCCUACGGGAGGCAGCAGUGGGGAAUAUUGCACAAUGGGCGAAAGCCGGAUGCAGCCAUGCCGCGGGAGUGAAGAAGGCCGUCGGGUGGGAAAGCACUGUCAGCGGGGAGGCGUUACCCGCAGAAGAAGCACCGGCUAACUCCGUGCCAGCAGCCGCGGUAAUUC